rnacentral:rRNA from 1 species
GAUGAACGCUAGCUACAGGCUUAACACAUGCAAGUCGUGGGGCAGCAUGACUGAAGCUUGCUUCAGUUGAUGGCGACCGGCGCACGGGUGAGUAACGCGUAUCCAACCUUCCCAUGACAGGGGAAUAACCUUGCGAAAGUAAGACUAAUGCCCCAUGGUCUCCGACGACGGCAUCAGACUCGGAGUAAAGGCCUCGGCCGGUGAUGGAUGGGGAUGCGUCCGAUUAGCUUGACGGCGGGGUAACGGCCCACCGUGGCACCGAUCGGUAGGGGUUCUGAGAGGAAGGUCCCCCACAUUGGAACUGAGACACGGUCCAAACUCCUACGGGAGGCAGCAGUGAGGAAUAUUGGUCAAUGGGCGCAAGCCUGAACCAGCCAAGUAGCGUGAGGGACGACGGCCCUAUGGGUUGUAAACCUCUUUAUGCGGGGAUAACCGGUGCCACGCGUGGCGCCCUGCAGGUACCGCAUGAAUAAGGACCGGCU